AUACGUAGGUGGCAAGCGUUGUCCGGAUUUACUGGGUGCAAAGGGCGCGUAGGCGGGCAGGCAAGUCAGAUGUGAAAUCUCCGGGCUCAACCCGGAAAUUGCAUUUGAAACUGCAGGUCUUGAGUAUCGGAGAGGCAAGCGGAAUUCCUAGUGUAGCGGUGAAAUGCGUAGAUAUUAGGAGGAACACCAGUGGCGAACGCGGCUUGCGGGACUACAACUGACGCGGAGGCGCGAAAGCGUGGGGAGCAAACAGGAGUAGAUACCCUGGUAGUCCACGCCAUAAACGAUGAAUACUAGGUGUGGGAGGACUGACCCCUUCCGUGCCGGAGUAAACAUAAUAAGUAUCCCCCCUGGUGAGCACGGCCGCAAGGUUGAAGCUCAAAUGAAUUGACGGGG
rnacentral:rRNA from 1 species